UACGAAGGGGGCUAGCGUUGCUCGGAUUUACUGGGCGUAAAGGGCGCGUAGGCGGCGUGGUAAGUCACUUGUGAAAUCUCUGAGCUUAACUCAGAACGGCCAAGUGAUACUGCUGUGCUGGAGUGCAGAAGGGGCAAUCGGAAUUCUUGGUGUAGCGGUGAAAUGCGUAGAGAUUGGAAAGAACACCGAUGGCGAAGGCACUUUACUGGGCUAUUACUAACACUCAGAGACGAAAGCUAGGGUAGCAAAUGGG
rnacentral:rRNA from 1 species